rnacentral:rRNA from 1 species
GGGUUCGAGUUCUGGCUCAGGACGAACGCUGGCGGCGUGCUUAACACAUGCAAGUCAACGGGGAUAUUCUUGGAAGGGCUUCGGUCCGGAAGGGAGUAUUCGAGUGGCGGACGGUGAGUAACGCGUGAGCAAUCUGUCCCAGAGAGGGGAAUAACACUUGGAAACAGGUGCUAAUACCGCAUAAGACCACGUUGUCGCAUGGCGAUGGGGUAAAAGGAGCAAAUCCGCUCUGGGGUGAGUUCGCGUCCGAUUAGAUAGUUGGUGAGGUAACGGCCCCACCAAGUCGACGAUCGGUAGCCGACCUGAGAGGGUGAUCGGCCACAUUGGAACUGAGAGACGGUCCAAACUCCUACGGGAGGCAGCAGUGGGGAAUAUUGGGCAAUGGGCGAAAGCCCUGACCCAGCAACGCCGCGUGAGUGAAGAAGGCUUUCGGGUUGUAAAGCUCUGUUAUGUGGGACGAAGGAAGUGACGGUACCACAUAAGGAAGCCCCGGCUAACUACGUGCCAGCCGCCGC